rnacentral:rRNA from 1 species
CUCGCCUGUUUUAUCAAAAACAUAGUUAAAAGAAAAGAUUUUUAAUUAUUCCUGCCCAGUGUAUAUUUAUAAAUGGCCGCAGUACUUUGACUGUGCUAAGGUAGCAUAAUCAAUUGGCUUUUAAUUUGAGUCUGGAAUGAAAGGAUUUAUGGGGAGACGCUGUUUCAAAUAUAUAGUAUUAAAUUUAUUUAAAAAGUGAAAAUACUUUUUUAUAGAAAAAAGACGAGAAGACCCUAAGAAUUUUUAGAAAAAUAUAUUAAUUUUUUUUUCUUUUUGUUGGGGCGACAAUUAAGCAAUAGCAUUAACCUUAAUUAUUUAUUUAAUCGGUUAUUUCAGUAAAAAUUAAAUUACCUUAGGGAUAACAGCAUAAUUUUUAAAAGUUUGUGACCUCGAUGUUGGACUAGGAACUUUAUAACUAGCAGUAAAAAGAGAUUGUCCGUUCUAAAAAUAUU